GGUUCGGUGGUGGGAGGUUUCCACAUCUGCAUUUCUUUCGGGAUUGCGGUAUAUGUAGAGAGCAGAAGAUGCCUGUUCGAAUCCGGCCUGGGCCA